CAACACAACAGUCACAGUGGAUCAACAGGUCAGCAAAAGCUCCCAGAGUGAUGUGAUAAAACUGAAUUUGCACCCAAGGGAAAUACACGUGUGAUCAGUGAGGUGACCUCGAGCCUGGGAGUAGUGCUGAUGAGUCCAUCUCUGGAACCAGGCAGACUGUUCCGCUGGCCAUGUUGUUUUCAAAGAUUUCAAAAGACUUGGGCAUUGUGAGAGGACAGAAAAUAUUAAAAAUGCUUUCAAAAUGUAAAUUGAGAGUAUAUUUGAAUACAGGGAUUAAACAAACUCAUGUGGAGGAAACACUAAGAGAGAAACAACUUGCGAGGACUUGUUACCUGAACGUACGUCCAGGUGAAUUGAAAUCAGGAACUAAAAAAAUCUGUGCAAAUAGUGCACUGCCCAGUCUUUGGUGUGCCUGGCAGAUGCCCUGCUAGAAAAUGUGCUUGUUUAUGCUUGAUGGAGGAGAAACAGGUUGGUGUGGAGUGGGCAAAGAUACACAGCAGAUCCAAUUAGCUUUGCUCAGUCUGUCCAGCAACAAGGCAGCUCUUCUUGGUGGGGUGUGCAGGCUCCUUCUGCAGGCAAUUCAGACAGUGAACUGAGAGAAUGAAUCACACCAUCUGUGUCAGACAUCAGCCACAAGGGACAGCCUUUUGUGGGUGUCUCUCUCUGCUGUUUGGACCGGGAGAUGAGACAGCUUCUAACAACUUCACCUUCAAAGUUCUGUGAGCAGUCUCAUGUAACAGGGGAUAAAUGCAGCAUCUUUGGUCUCUGGUGAUAAAAGACACGCUGGUCACCCGCGCUCCCGCGCUGGCGCAAGGCCCCUGGGCUCUGCUGGGCAGUGGCCUGGCAGCCGCACUCCCUCUGCAAAGGCCGUGGGACAGAGCACAGCAGGGACAGGACCCACCGCCCGCCAAAGGCAGGGAAGGACUCAGGACCCGGCACUUCCAGCAGAGCCCGCUGGAUGGCAGCGACAGGCAUAAUCACCCCACAAACGAGGAGCGGCACCGCUGCUGCAGCGUCUGACCGAUGCUGCUGUGUCUGCAAGUGAUGUGCUUUUCGCUGUGUGAAUGGCCCACACCGCGGGCACCUCGCUGGGCUCCAGGCUGGAUGCAUUGUCCCGAGCUGAAAUCGAACAGGUCAUCAUCGCUGAAAGGAAGAAGGGUCCUUCUCUGCCACAUCCCGACCACUCCAAACACUGUCACCACCCUCAGUCUGACGGACUUGACAUGCCCUGAGCCUGCACCAACUCCUGACAGCACCCUGGGGCUGGGAGCCAAGGCAGCCCGAUGGAAGGCUCAAUAAACAUGGUGGAGAAGGCAACACAUGUCUAGGAGCAGAGAUGCAAGCAAGGAGGGCAGGACUGCUGCUACUUUUCUUGUUUGUUUGUUUGUUUGUUUGUUUGUUUUUGAGGAGCACAUAUGGGCUUCAUCUAGUCACAUUUGUAGUAUGAUAAAAAUAAGAAUUCUGGGAUGGACACCCAAGUAGAGUUUGUGCAGUCCAACACCCUGUUCCAAGUAGGUGAGACCAGGUUGCUCAGGCACUUUCCUGGCUGAGUAUUGAAAAUCUCAGAGUGCAGAGAUUCCCUGCAUCUCUGAGGCCUUCUUCAAGAUUUGUUUACCUGUAUGAUGAAAAAGUUUUUGACUCAUUCUAGUGGUCCAGGUUGUGCCUGUACUUCUUGUUCUACGAUCACUGAACUGAUCACUUCAGGUGACUUGUGCUUGCCUGAGCAGCCCCAACCUCCCUUGAGAAAAUUCUAGACAGUGAUAACAUUCCCUUCACCUUUCAAAGAACCCACUCCCAGUAUCACACCUAGAGUUUUGCUACCAAAAAUGACUGUAUUUUGUUUCAAAGUGAUAUUUUUCUGACAAAAGACAUUCUGCAAAGCACUGGGCAGGUACAUACACAAACCAAGCCAAGACGAGUGUCCUGAAGCAAAGCUUUUUCUCUUGCUUCCCGAAUGUCAGUACCCAGUGGCUCACUACACCCGAUCCAGGGAGUGCAGGCAGUUUGCAGGGCUGGCGGCUGACACCCACAUUGGCAGCGAGAGUCAGAGCAGCAGAGACAGCCAGGCUUUAAUGACUUCAGGGGGUGAGGGCUAUGACUCACUAACAGGCCUACGGCAAGUAUGGGAGAGCUGACCUGACCACCUGCCCUUCUCUCUAUCCCUCUUUUUGGAGGUUCCCUCCCAAGCUGCAGGCAUGGCUAAGUGUCUCAAACACUCCCACGCUGCCAUAAACUGUGACCCAGCAUGCUAAGGUAAACCAGCACCCAUCUUGGUUCUCUUUCAAGACACAGGACUGCAACUUGUAACUUUUAAACUGCUUCCAUUGAUUAUCUGGAACUUGAUGGGCAUGGGAUGCUUCAUUUCCAAAUUCAGGGAGCUCUGGUGUUCAGACAGCUGAAUCAUACAGGCCAUAUUGUGCUCACCAAGGAUUUGAGCCACAAGGAAAAGGAAGGCUUAUCUCUGCACUCGCAGGCAAUGAAUCAACAAAAAGACACCAUUAAAGAGCUAAAGCUGAGGGAGGAGAGCAGCCUGAGUUCAAAGUCACAUGAACUCACUGGCCAUGUUUUAGCUAAGCAGCCUGGGAGGUGGCAAAUUUUUCAUGACUUUGAAUUAACCUUGGUAGCAUAAUGUUCCCUGAAAAAACAGAGAACAAGAACAGUAUAAUUCUAAAAGCCAUCGUGCCAAGUAUCGCGUUUGGUGAUUCAAAUAUUCAGAUCUCUAUAUGCAAGAAGAGCAUAUCUGCAGAAAUAUCAGUCUAACUUUUAAACUCUUUAUUACUGAUUAAAUCAAAGCACCCAUUGAAAUGUAAAGGUUUUACUGUCUGUAACCUGUGCUUAAAUAUUUCCACAGCCAGUUUGCAAAAUAAAUAUUCUCCAAACCAG